AUAAAUUUUAGUGUUAAUUAUAUAUUAUUUUAAAAAUAAUUUAUAUAAUAAAGUAGUAAUUAAUAUUAAAUAUUUAAGAAAUUAAGAUUUAGUAAUAUUUUAAUUAAUAACAAAUUUUGUGCCAGCAGUUGCGGUUAUACAAAAAUUAAAUUAAAUUUUAUUAGUAAUUAAUAAAUAAUUUUAAUUCAAAUAAUAAAAAUUUUAAAUUAUUAAGUGAAAUUUUAAUUUAUUUAAUUUUUAUAAUUUAGAUUAUGAUUUAAUAAAUUUUAUAAAAAACUAGGAUUAGAUACCCUAUUAUUAAAAUUUAAAAUUAAAAUACUAAAAUAGUAAAUAAUUAUUUAUUGAAACUUAAAUAAUUUGGCGGUAUUUUAGUUCAUUUAGAGGAAUCUGUUUAAUAAUUGAUAAUCCACGAAUAAAUUUACUUAAUUUACAAUUUUGUAUAUCGUUGUUAAAAAAAUAUUUUUUAAUAAAAUUAAUAUUUAAUAAUUAUUAUAUAAAUUUAAAUCAGAUCAAGAUGCAGAUUAUAAUUAAGAAUAUAAUGGAUUACAAUAAAUUUAUUUAAAUGAAUAUUAAUUUGUAAAAAUUAAUUGAAAGUGGAUUUAAAUGUAAUUUUAUUUAAUUUAAUAAAAUGAUUAUAAAUUAAAAUAUGUACAUAUUGCCCGUCGCUUUCAUAUAAAAAUAAAUUGAAAUAAGUCGUAACAAAGUAGAGGUACUGGAAAGUGUUUCUAGAAAGAA
rnacentral:ncRNA from 1 species